UAAUGGUGAUUCUUUGUCAUUGAGAUAAAUGAUUUUAGAAAUGUUCUGACCUGAGGGGAGAGAGGAAAAAAGUCAUUAUUCCUUUAAUACAUGUAUAACCUCGCAUUUGACUUAGUCAGCAGUAAGUGAUGGAUGUCAAAACAUGGCCAGAGUAUAAUACAUGCAGCAUCCCUGAUUUAAUGUGCUUACUUGUCAGUCUGAGGAUAGCAAGGAAUGUCAGGUCAAUUUGAUUUCAGUCUUGUGUCACUUAUUUUCUAUUUCAUGGCUCCAUACCAUACUUUUUAUUGUGUGUGUGUGUGUUUAAAACGUUUGUGUCCAUGCACACGCAAUCUAAGGGGAACAAAACAAGCAGUAUGUCACAUCUGUUAUAUAUAGCCUAAUAUUGGACUUUGUGAAGAACACAGUAACAUCGCACUCAGCAGCUUUAGGUUUUACCAGUGGCCAGGAAUGACUGAAGUAGCCCCAGCAUAUUACUUCUGCUGCUAUGUGUGUUUGUAGCCUCUAAUGAAAUAAUGAAUAUUGCAUUAACAUAGCAUUUGCUAAUGUUAUGUGUCCAUUCAGGCUUCACACCACCAGGGAUGGACAGAUCGUCUCCUGAAAACAGCCCAGUCCAUGGACUAGUAAGGCAGACUUCUGUCACAACUGGAGCAAAUAUUCCCAUCAUAACAGAACUAGCACCAUUAGCAAAGCCAGGCAAAACACUGCCUGUGAUUUCAUUCAGUCAGAAUAAAAGCAGUGGGACCAGCAUACAAAUGAUAACUGAGCUGGUGAAUGACUCCAGUGUUCAGUUCCUGGACCAAGAUGAUGAUGACGACCCAGACACAGAGUUAUACCUCACUCAGCCUUUCGCCUGUGGGACAGCCUUCGCAGUCAGUGUGCUGGAUUCUCUAAUGAGCGCUGUAAGUCACAAUCUAUUUAGUUUACAGACAUAUCAGCAGAUAUAAAGAGCUUAUUGUAGAGGCUUUUGUGCAGUGACAUAAUAUCUGUCAGUGACCUGAAAUAUGCAAAGAAAUAUUGUUUUGAUAUCACAAAAGAUAUCAAAUAAAAAUAUGGUCCCCCCUAAAACGUAGGCACACUC